rnacentral:rRNA from 1 species
UACGGAGGGAGCUAGCGUUGUUCGGAAUUACUGGGCGUAAAGGGCUCGUAGGUGGCCAACUAAGUCGGACGUGAAAUCCCUCGGCUUAACCGGGGAACUGCGUCCGAUACUGGUUGGCUUGAGUUUGGGAGAGGGAUGCGGAAUUCCAGGUGUAGCGGUGAAAUGCGCAGAUAUCAGGAGGAACACCGGUGGCGAAGGCGGGUCUCUGGGCCGAUACUGACGCUGAGGAGCGAAAGCGUGGGGAGCGAACAGG